CACGUAGGGGACGAGCGUUGUCCGGAUUCAUUGGGCGUAAAGCGUGCGCAGGCGGUUUUGUAAGCCAGAUGUGAAAUCCCCGGGCUCAACCUGGGAAUGGCAUUUGGGACUGCAAGGCUUGAGUGCGGCAGAGGAGACUGGAAUUCCUGGUGUAGCAGUGAAAUGCGUAGAUAUCAGGAGGAAUACCGAUGGCGAAGGCAGGUCUCUGGGCUGACACUGACGCUCAUGCACGAAAGCGUGGGGAGCAAACAGG
rnacentral:rRNA from 1 species